GACGAACGCUGGCGGCGUGCUUAACACAUGCAAGUCGAACGGAAAGGCCCUGCUUUUGUGGGGUGCUCGAGUGGCGAACGGGUGAGUAACACGUGAGUAACCUGCCCUUUACUUUGGGAUAACUUCAGGAAACUGGGGCUAAUACCGGAUAGGAGCUCCUGCUGCAUGGUGGGGGUUGGAAAGUUUCGGCGGUUGGGGAUGGACUCGCGGCUUAUCAGCUUGUUGGUGGGGUAGUGGCUUACCAAGGCUUUGACGGGUAGCCGGCCUGAGAGGGUGACCGGCCACAUUGGGACUGAGAUACGGACCAGACUCGUACGGGAGGCAGCAGGGGGGAAUAUUGCACAAUGGGCGGAAGCCUGAUGCAGCAACGCCGCGUGCGGGAUGACGGCCUUCGGGUUGUAAACCGCUUUCGCCUGUGACGAAGCGUGAGUGACGGUAAUGGGUAAAGAAGCACCGGCUAACUACGUG
rnacentral:rRNA from 1 species